CGGCGUGCCUAACACAUGCAAGUCGAGCGAUUCUCUUCGGAGAAGAGCGGCGGACGGGUGAGUAACGCGUGGGUAACCUGCCUCAUACACAUGGAUAACAUACCGAAAGGUAUGCUAAUACAGGAUAAUAUAAGAGAUUCACAUGGAUUUCUUAUCAAAGCUCCGGCGGUAUGAGAUGGACCCGCGUCUGAUUAGCUAGUUGGUAAGGUAACGGCUUACCAAGGCGACGAUCAGUAGCCGACCUGAGAGGGUGAUCGGCCACAUUGGAACUGAGACACGGUCCAAACUCCUACGGGAGGCAGCAGUGGGGAAUAUUGCACAAUGGGCGAAAGCCUGAUGCAGCAACGCCGCGUGAGUGAUGAAGGCCUUCGGGUCGUAAAACUCUGUCCUCAAGGAAGAUAAUGACGGUACUUGAGGAGGAAGCCCCGGCUAACUACGUGCCAGCCGCAGC
rnacentral:rRNA from 1 species